AUAUUGUACAAUAUUAUUAUAAUACAGUACUAAUGCAACACACCAGCAUAAAAAUAAUACAAUACAACAUAAUAUAAUACAGUGUGCCAAACGCACCCUUAUACUUUUUUGGCAAUCACGACAUAAUUAGGGUCGAUGUAUCUGAAAAUUAAAAGUAAUUUAAGCGCUAAAAGAGUGUAAUGAUCGAGGGAGCAUUACAUAUAGCAAAGUGGAUCAUGGAACAAAGUUGUGAAUUGAAGACACCAAUCUGAUUCUGAUUCUGAUUCUUCAAGGUUUGGUGGCAGCCAAGGUGUUUGCAAUAUCAAUGACAAAUCGAUACCGAACAUCAGCCUUGGCAAGCCGCUCCAUUGCCGUAUUGACAUAAUCCAUCGAAAUAACCUCAAUGUCAGCUGUUAUAUUGUGUUUUGCUGCAAAAUCAAUCAUCUCUUGCGUCUCUUUCAUUCCCCCAAUGCUGCUCCCUGACACCGUCUUCCUCCCUGCUAUGUCAUUUUAUGUUAUCAAAUGACUUAUAUUAAUUACAAGUUUUAGACCACAAGUUUCCGAAGAAUUUUGUUAGAACUUACCCAUAAUUAAGGAAAUCACAGGUAGCUCGAGUGGCUUGUCCGGAGCACCAACCAGAACAAGCUUGCCCUGGGACUUUAAUAGACCGAGCAAUGGCAAAAUGGGGUGCACAGCGGACACCGUGUCAAUAAUACCAUCCAAUGUGCCCAUGGCACCCUGAUGAAGUUAUUACAAAAUAUAUAUUAAAAUUAAGGAAUGCAUUUUAUUUUUUAUUUUUCUCCAAUAUAUGCGUGAAUCUAAUUAAAUUACCUGCAAUUGGUCAGGGUCACGGCUAUUCAAAAAUGAAUCAGCGCCAAGAUGUUCAAGAGCUUCAGUCUUCUUGCUUGGAGAGGUGCUAAUUACUGUCACUUUGGCCCCAAAAGCCUUGGCAAAUUUGACAGCGACAUGACCAAGCCCGCCAAGGCCAACGAUGCCUACAUGCUUUCCUUGUUCUGCUAGUUCAAAGUAUUUCAAUGGACUGUACACGGUAAUCCCGGCGCAAAGCAGGGGAGCAGCAGCAUCAAGGGGCAUGCUAUCAGGGAAUCGAACAAUGUAGCGCUCAUUGGCAACCAUGUGAUCAGAGUAGCCUCCGUAUGUGAUUGUUCCGUCAGUGUUAAUGGAAGUGUAGGUGGGUAUCACUUUCGGACAGUAAUUUUCAAGGUCAUUGGCACAGCUCUCGCAGCUGUGGCAUGCACCAACCAUGCAUCCAACUCCAACUUUAUCUCCCACUUUAACCUUUCUUACUUUGCUACCAACUUCUGUCACUUCCCCUGCAAUUUCAUGCCUGCAAAUAAAUACAAUUUGUUUAUGAUAAAUUACUUUAGUGGAAACAAGGUAUUUGAUUCUGUUUUUGACAAUAUAUAACUAGCUAGCUUCUGGAAACGUAUAUACUACACCACUCCACCAACUUUUCUUUUGUCAGUAAGUUUCUCAAUCAUAAAAUUCUUCAAGCAAAGAAAUUUGAAAUUUGAAAAUUUACAAGUCUUCAUUUGAAUGCAAAUUCAAGUUACAAGUCAUGUCUCCGUUUAUUUGUCAACCUCGUCUAUCCCUCAAGUAAAAUCUCAUAAUUGACCAUUCCGCAAUUACACAGGUGUACCAUUUUGAUGGGUUAAGUCUUUAGUGUGAUCUCAACACUCUAAUGAUGCCAAGGCACCCCACUGGCCACUACACUGGAAUAUUUAAAAAUUGUACAGAGUCAAAUGGAAAUAAAUUAAUUUUAUUGGGAAAAAAAAAAGAUAUCUAUGCUAACAACGCUUUAAUUGAGUUAAUUGUUAUUUCCACCCUUUAUUUAUAAGAUAGAGAGUAUAAAUCUACCAAGAGUUAUGAAGAUAAUGUAUAAGAAAAAUACAUAUUUUCAUCCAAUAUAUUUUAUUUUAUAUUACAUUAAAAUUUGUGUGUCUCUAUUUUUGUUUAAUUUGUUGUAAGAAAAUCUUAUUAAACGAUGAUGACCCGUAAAUAUAUAUGUUUGCCACUUUUAACAGGAGAUUCCAGUUAUUCAUCACAUCAAAUAUGGAACGGUAAGAUUAAAACCCUCGUUACCAAUAUUUCACUAGCACCUCUAUAUAAGAUAGAAUUAAAUAGGAUUGGGGACGAUUUGUAUCAAAUUAAAAGAUCCCAAAGCCUUGGCCUUGGUUAAUCUCUUUCUGUAUACACAGGCAAGUACCGUAGUUAAUAAUUAGGGAGCGCCGUGACGGAAACAACAGCCUGUUCAUGCGUAGCUGGGUUUGACCCGAAACAAAAACAAAUGCAAAAAAAAAUGCAAAAGAAACAAAAAUUGAAGGGUAGAUAGAUCAUGGGUACAUACCCAGGAACCAUAGGGAAGAGAGAGAAGCCCCAUUCAUUCUUGAUGUUGUGGAGAUCAGUAUGGCAGAUCCCACAAUACAAUACCUUCAGCCUCACAUCCUCAUCACCCGUUUCCCUGUCCGUAUUUUACAUAUCCACGUUUAUGACCAUUUCAUCAACACGUACAGUAACAAAAUUUUAAAUAAAUUUAAAGCAGCAUCACACAUAUAUAUUAUGCUCAACUAUUAAUUACCUUCUGGAGAAGUUGAAUGGGGAGAGAUGGCCGGAGCUGUCUCGGGCUGCCCACCCAAAGGCCUUUACUGGAUGUUCUUCUUCUGGUGAUUUUGCCAUUUUGGAUGAGAGAACGGCAAUGUUAUCAUUAUUAUAGUGGUUUGAAUGAUGUGAUGAGACGAGUAAAAGUACCAGUUUUUGUUUAUGCUUCAUAUGAAUGUUAAUGUGUGUACAGAUGUUUCUAAUCAAGAUUUUUUAUUAUAUUAAAGAGAAGAUAAAUUAAAAAAUAUAAAUACAAAAUUUAAUAUAAUAUAUUUUAUUUUAUAAUAUAUUCAUUGUUUAGUGAGGUUCACUUAUGUUGCAACUAUAAUAUGGUACCGCAUUUACUUUCAGCAGUCCGAUAUAGCUAACGUAACUGUGUAAUUAUGGAUUUAACAACUGAUUUAGUGAUGAUUUCAAUAUAUUAAGUUAUUAACGGAUAAAAAAAUAUAAUUUUAAUUUUUUAAUACAUUAAAGUCGGUGUUUUUUUUUUAUAUUUUGUUAAUAUCUUCACCUUAAUAAAGUGAAGAUGUCAUAAUCGAGAAAAAUUAUAUAUAAUGAAGACUAAUUAGAUAAUAUUAUAAUUUUUAAAAUAAUUAUUAUUAGAUGUGAUGUAGAAAUAACUGCUGUACCGUACAUCCGCCUUGGCCGUUUUUUAUUGUGUAUAUAUAAUAAUUAUUAAUAAACAUAAUAUAUAUAAUAAUUUUUUAUCUCAAUAUUAUUGAUAAUGAUAAUAAUCUCUUCAAAAUAAUUUUAUUUUAUAAUUAAUAUGAAUAAUUUAAAAUUUUCCUAAUAUAUAUAAAAAAAUCAGUUUUUAACUUUUAAAUUAUUUUCGAGGAUCUCAAAAAUAAUAAUUAUCGGGAACAGGCUAACAGCAGGGAGGUGGAGAGAGGGGGUCAUAAAUUUUGCUAUUUAAAUUUUCCUAAUAUAUAAAAAAAAUCAGUUUUUAACUUUAAAAUUAUUUUCGAGCAUCUCAAAAAUAAUAAUUAUCGGGAACAGGCUGACAGCAGGGAGGUGGAGAGAGGGGGUCAUAAAUUUUGCUGAAGUAAUCAGUGAGCUAACAUGUGACAUACGGAUGCGCUAUGUAUGGGAUGUCCACCGUCAAUGACAUGGCGGACCAGCGAGAUACUUCUUGGGUCAGCUUCACCAUUAUUAUUAUUAUUAUUAUUCAAUUCCUAGUGUCGCAAACUCAAAGGUGGAUACCUGUCAAAAGCAACACCACGAACAACCAUUAUGAGACUUACGGCAAAAUGAGAACCCAGCGCGCUGAUUCGGUGGAAUUAAUGAUCACAAAAAUUUGAUUUUUUUUAAAAAAUAAUUACAAAUAUUUUUUUUGAUAAAUUUUAAAGGCUAAUGUGAAUUUUGUUGUUUUUUUACUUUUUAACAUAAAGAAUAUCAUAAGGUAUUGUAUAACUAUUGUUCAAUAAAAAAUUAAAUUUAUAUAUUUUUAAAAAGAUAAGACCUUAUCUUAAUUUAAAUUCUUUUGAAUUUUUAAAAAUCUUGCAGUUAAAUUCAAAUUAAAUAAAGAUAAAAAUAAAUUUGUGUAAUUAUUUUUAAAAAUAAAAAAUAUUUUUGUGAAUUUUUUUAAACUGGGAGAAUAUUAAUAUUUUUUUAUACUUAAAAUUUAUUUAUUAAACAUCUUGGAAAAAAAUUAAUUAAACUGGGAGAAUAUUGAUAUUUUUUUUCAAAUACCAAUAGAAUCCUAUCAAAGAGCCUUCUAGAAUAACCAGAUGCUGAGUAUUUAUAAUGUACACAUUAACAAUUAUUAUCUUAAAUAAUAAGACGUUUAUCCUCCUAAAUAUGAUAAAAAUAUUACAUUUCAUAGUGUACACAUGGACGGCCUAUCUUCUGGUAGCAGAAUAAAUUGAGAGUACCAGUCUAUCGUUGGAUUUGUAGCCCAAUGAUCAUUUGUGCUGAAACUUAGAUUUUCUUAACCAUCCAAACAAAUGGAACACCGUAUCAAUUUGAUUAAUAUUAUUAAGAUAUAUAUGCAUGCAAAUUAGUCAUGAAAACUCAUCCACAAAAAGUUAGAAAUUUUACCUUAAAAUGAACCGACAAUUUUAAAAGAUGUUCAAAAAUAUUUAUGAAAUGUAAGAAACAUACUCUUCUAAUUGGAUCAUGAUUCUCUCUUAAUAUGAUUUUCUUUUGAGUAAGUUUUAGGGGUGGCAAAACGAAUAAACGAAUCGAAUUCGAAUCGAAUCGUAAAUGAAUUGGGUCAAAAUUCUAUGGAUUCGAAUUCGAUUCGUUUAUUAAAAGAAUUGAAAUUUCAAGAUUCGGAUUCGAUUCGUUUAUUAAACGAAUAUUCGGUUCAAUUCGUUUAAUUCGUUUAAUAGAAUUGAUAAACGAAUCGAAUCGAAUCCGGAUUCGUUUAUUAUUCGUUUAUCCUUUACGAAUCCAUAACGAAUCGAAUCGAAUCAGGAUUCGUUUACAAUUCGUUUAGAAAAAUAUAAUUAAUAAACAAAAUUAAGCAAAAAAAACACAAAUUUAAUAUCCCACAACAAAAUACAAAUAAUUCAAAUCAUAUUAUACAGUCAUCCAAAUAACAAAUACCAAAUCCUUAAUAUUACAAAUAACAAUAAUUCAAAUUGAAAUUAUAAAGAAAUGUAAUUUCUUUAAUUCUUUUCAUUUGUCUUUGUCACCUUGAAAACAAAAAUCCUACACGAAAAAAUAAAUAAAAUGUUAUUAACAUGCUCCAAUAUUGAUAAUAGUCAUUGUAAAAUUUCAAAAAUCAAAUAUAUAGCAAAUUUGUAGCAUUUUCAAGGAAAUAAUAAUUAAACAAGAUAAAAACCUUACCUAACACUGUCAUUUGGAUCAUUUGCACUCUCUACAGAUGGAGCACAAUUAGUGCUCAUGUUCAUAAACUAAUAAAUCAAAGAAAAAGUCUAACAGAGAAAUUAACAUACAUAAUCACUUUCAAGCACCAUUACCAAGACCACGAAUCUAUUCAUCAUGUAUGCCAAAUUCUAACCCGGCAAUAUUCCUAAUGCACAAUAUUCCAAUACACAAAAUAUUAACAAUACAACAUAAUAAAUUAUAAAUUCUAAUACUAAAAAAAAUUUUAAUCCAAUAUUUGUGGGAGCUUCUUCCUUAUCCUACAGAUAAUUUUUAACACCAUAAUCGAUUUAUACAUAAUUUCAUAAUAUUUUCCGAACAAUACAAAACAUUUUAAAUGCAGUGCGUUUAUGUGCGACAGGCACCUGUCCCACUUGCCUGUCUCACUAAAUUUCAUAUAUGUUUCGAAAGCCAUAACUUGAGCUAUAUAUGUUCGUUUUAGGCGUAUAAUAUACCGUUUCGAAGUUUACGACGAGACAAAUCAAAUCCAAAAUCAUGUAUUCCGUAAACGCCGUGAGUUUAUGUGCGAUAAGCAGUGGGACAGGUGCCUAUCGCACAUAAAUGCAGUGCGUUUAUGUGCGACAGGCACCUGUCCCACUUGCCUGUCUCACUAAAUUUCAUAUAUGUUUCGAAAGCCAUAACUUGAGCUAUAUAUGUUCGUUUUAGGCGUAUAAUAUACCGUUUCGAAGUUUACGACGAGACAAAUCAAAUCCAAAAUCAUGUAUUCCGUAAACGCCGUGAGUUUAUGUGCGAUAAGCAGUGGGACAGGUGCCUAUCGCACAUAAAUGCAGUGCGUUUAUGUGCGACAGGCACCUGUCCCACUUGCCUGUCUCACUAAAUUUCAUAUAUGUUUCGAAAGCCAUAACUUGAGCUAUAUAUGUUCGUUUUAGGCGUAUAAUAUACCGUUUCGAAGCUUACGACGAGACAAAUCAAAUCCAAAAUCAUGUAUUCCGUAAACGCCGUGAGUUUAUGUGCGAUAAGCAGUGGGACAGGUGCCUAUCGCACAUAAAUGCAGUGCGUUUAUGUGCGACAGGCACCUGUCCCACUUGCCUGUCUCACUAAAUUUCAUAUAUGUUUCGAAAGCCAUAACUUGAGCUAUAUAUGUUCGUUUUAGGCGUAUAAUAUACCGUUUCGAAGCUUACGACGAGACAAAUCAAAUCCAAAAUCAUGUACUCCAUAAAAUCCAUGGGUUUAUGCGCGACAAGCAAUGGAACAGGUGCCAUGGCUUUGUAAAUUUGAAAAAGUGGCAUGGCUUUGUAAAUUUGAUGAAAGUGAUGAGGGUAAUGUAGUCCAAACAUAAGGUGUUUGGCUAGUUAUGAUAGAAAAAACUUUGGGGGGUUAAAGUUGAAAAACGUAAAAGUUUUAUGGCUAAUUUUGUAAAUUUCCCAAACAUUUUCUAAACCAUAAUCUCAUAAUAUUCUACAAUACAAAAUUUCUCAAUAAUUCAACCAUAAUCUCAUGAUAUUACUCUGAGUUGGUGAUGGCUUGUUGAUUCGGGUCGCCUGGGCACUAGUUCGGGUCGCAGUCGCCUGGGUUUGCUGCUGCUGCACCGCCGCACGGGUUAGCCACUACUGUGGGUUCGAGUGGCUGCUAAUACGUUGCGCAGCUGAUGCUCCUGGGUUGCUGCCGAGUCGCGGGCUGCACUCGCGUGGCUGCGUCCCUCAAGCUCAAUCGACGAUAGAUGAACGAUGGUGGUUGUAAUCGUCGGUUCGCUGUGAGUUAAUGACAAGUUCCCUGUGAGUUAAUGACAGUGGCUACCGGCGGUUGUUUUUGUUGCUUGAUUGCUUCACUUGGUAUGGGUGGGUGAGUGUGAUUCGUGUGAGAGAGGUAGAGAGCAACGAGAGCGGCUGAGUGAGGGGAGAAUUUUUAGGGAUUUAGCCUUUAGGUUUCCGCUACUUUGUUUUUUUUUUUGGUUAUUUUCUUAAAAGUAAAUUUUCAAACCCGCAUUCGAUUCGUUUAAUUAACGAAUCAAAUCGAAUUCAUCCAUUUAUUAAACGAAUCAAUUUUUUUCAAACCCAAACCCAUUUAAUUCGCAUCGAAUCGAAUCGAAUAAACGAAUCCUGACCUAUAUUGCCACCCCUAACUGUAAUAGCAAAUCAAAUAGUAAGUUUUAUAUUUUAUUAAAGUGAUUGGUAAUUAACAAAUUAAAAAAUAAAGGUAGUUAAAUUCUAAUUAUAUACUAACACUAAAAUAUAGGUAGCACAAGCAGAGCUUAGAUCAUAUCAUGUACAUCAUAUACAUACCAUUAUAGAUCAUGUACUACUAUAUACAUACCACAUACCAUUUUAGAUAUGGAUUUUACUAUUCUCUCUCUCUCUCUCUUUUUCAAUCAUAGUACAUAUUAAGAUCUACAAAAAAAAAAAAGAAUAAAUGAAAUUUCAUGAUAGAUUUGAUGGGGUGGUAAAACUUGAACUAUAUUCAUCUUGAUAGAAUCAUCCAUCAUGCAUCAACAUUGGGGGUGAACCGUGAGGUCCUAAGAAAAUGCUUCCAUUGACCGAUGAAGUUUUGUUUGUUUUCUUUGGUUGCAAAGUCGAAUAAGGAUUACGUGCUAAAUUAAAUUUUUACUGGAUAUUGAAUCAAUAGUUAUUAAUAGGAGAAAUUGUAAAAAUUUAAAAAUUUAAAACAAUUUUAACUAUUAAUUCAAUGAUUGAUUCAAUACUCGAUAAAAAUUUAACAUAACACUAAACCCUAAUCCAGAGAAAUUUUCUGUUGGAAAACAUAUAUGCAGCGUUGAAAAUUGUGAUAUGAAUUCAUGAGCCAUUUAGGACAAUCGUAUAUUUUUGUUCAAGGUCAGAGGAACCUAGACGCUGCUGUUGCUACAUACCUUUGCAAAUAUGAUUUUAUAGAUUUCUGCCAUCUAUACUAAUUUUAUUGAAUUAUACGACUUGAUAGUGUUGGUACGAGAAGAAAAAAAAAAUGAAAAGUGCCGCAUGAGAGCAAAACUCUAUAUGUGAUUUAGAACAAAACAAACUUUUCAACUGGACAAUUGGUGAAAGGUACAUAUGCUAAAUAUUUUAUAUGAACAAUGUUUUAUUUCAUUAACAUUUAUAGUUUUUUGGCAAUCACGACAUAAUUAGGGUGAUGUAACUGGAAAUUAAAAGUAAUUUAAGCGCUAAAAGAGUGUAAUGAUCGAGGGAGCAUUACAUAUAGCAAAGUGGAUCAUGGAACAAAGUUGUGAAUUGAAGACACCAAUCUGAUUCUGAUUCUGAUUCUUCAAGGUUUGGUGGCGGCCAAGGUGUUUGCAAUAUCAAUGACAAAUCGAUACCGAACAUCAGCCUUGGCGAGCCGCUCCAUUGCCGUAUUGACAUAAUCCAUCGAAAUAACCUCAAUGUCAGCUGUUAUAUUGUGUUUUGCUGCAAAAUCAAUCAUCUCUUGCGUCUCUUUCAUUCCCCCAAUGCUGCUCCCUGACACCGUCUUCCUCCCUGCUAUGUCAUUUUAUGUUAUCAAAUGAAUUAUAUUAAUUACAAGUUUUAGACCACAAGUUUCCGAAGAAUUUUGUUAGAACUUACCCAUAAUUAAGGAAAUCACAGGUAGCUCGAGUGGCUUGUCCGGAGCACCAACCAGAACAAGCUUGCCCUGGGACUUUAAUAGACCGAGCAAUGGCAAAAUGGGGUGCACAGCGGACACCGUGUCAAUAAUACCAUCCAAUGUGCCCAUGGCACCCUGAUGAAGUUAUUACAAAAUAUAUAUUAAAAUUAAGGAAUGCAUUUUAUUUUUUAUUUUUCUCCAAUAUAUGCGUGAAUCUAAUUAAAUUACCUGCAAUUGGUCAGGGUCACGGCUAUUCAAAAAUGAAUCAGCGCCAAGAUGUUCAAGAGCUUCAGUCUUCUUGCUUGGAGAGGUGCUAAUUACUGUCACUUUGGCCCCAAAAGCCUUGGCAAAUUUGACAGCGACAUGACCAAGCCCGCCAAGGCCAACGAUGCCUACAUGCUUUCCUUGUUCUGCUAGUCCAAAGUAUUUCAAUGGACUGUACACGGUAAUCCCGGCGCAAAGCAGAGGAGCAGCAGCAUCAAG
rnacentral:lncRNA from 1 species